rnacentral:rRNA from 1 species
GGGUGCGAUUAUACCAUCAUUAAAGCAUCGGAUCCCGUAAGAACUCCGAAGUUAAGCAUGCUUGGGUGAGAGUAGCACUAGGAUGGGUGGCCCCCUAGGAAGUCCUUGUGUUGCGCUUC